GUGGUACGAGAUAAUGAGUCCUAUUUUUCUCUCACAUAAUAUGCAUUUGCUCUCCUAGGACAGUGUAAUACAUUUAUGUGAAGUAAAGACAUGCGAGACUGGUGGCCUGCAAAUAGCAUCCGUUGAUCUGUGUUAACUGCAUAGGGAGGGCUCUGCAUAGCACCUGCUAUAGCGGUGUCAUGUUGGAUCGCUUUUGUGACUGUUCAUCUGUCCUUGACAGUGGCUGUCAUCUUGACUACUUUGUUGAUUUGUUGGUAUUGGGGACAUUUUAAAGGCUGAGUUAUUUUUGAAUGUCAUGUUUAUGUCAUAGACGUAGUUUUCGCAUCCUUGAAUUAAACUGCCUUAACUCCUUUUGUGGUAUAAGCAAAACUACAUGGACUCUGUCCUGGUAUCCUUUUCCUGUGUGGUUGCCCCGUGUCCUCUGGCC
rnacentral:lncRNA from 1 species